UAGUUAUAAAUUAAUACAAGUUUCAAUUUUUAUUUACCGAAUUUCGUUUGAAAUAAUUUUUUUAAAGAUAUUACAACUAUAUUUAUAAUUACAUUAGGUAUAGUUGGAAUAAACAUAAAAUAAUUACUCUUGAAUUUCAUCACUCGAAUAUUUUAAUACAUGUGAAUUUUACUGUCAUUUGUUCAACGAGUAAGUAUAAGUAUUCUCUGGAAAUAAUAAUAACAUAUCGUUAUUUAUUAUAAAUAAUUUAA